rnacentral:tRNA from 1 species
GCCCCGAUGGCGGAAUCGGUAGACGCACUGGACUCAAAAUCCAGCGCCGCAAGGCGUGCCAGUUCGACUCUGGCUCGGGGCACCA